ensembl:lncRNA
GCCACCUCCCACAGCCAGGAACACGUUAUGGAGUGUUUGCAUAAAAGAAGUUUUCCUGCCUGAGGAUGGUUUGACCUUCUGGUAAAACCUGAACAUGGGGGUUUCUUGGAAUUCCCGGCUUGGAGAUUAUCACUCCAGCAUCUUAGUGUAGCAUCUGGAUGCGUGUCCCUCACAGAGCCUGCACUUCAUCCCUUCUCUUCCCUGCUGCUGCUACUGCUAAGUCGCUUUAGCCGUGUCCGACUCUGUGCGACCCCAUGGACUGCAGCCUACCAGGCUUCUCCGUCCAUGGGAUUCUCCAGGCAAGAACACUGGAGUCGGUUGCCAUUUCUUUCUCCAAUGCAUGAAAGUGGAAAGUGAAAGUGAAGUCGCUCAGUCGUGUCCGACUCUUCACGACCCCAUGGACUGCAGCCCACCAGGCUCCUCCGUCUAUGGGAUUUUCCAGGCAACAGUACUUCUCUCCCCUAGUGGCUCCAAAAUGCCUCCUCCAAACUCAGGAGAGACCCUCCAGGAACGUAAAUUCCAUGUCAUCAAUGGGAAAAUAGAGACACCAAGAGGCUAAGUGAUUUGGGCCAAGAAGUCAGGCCAUCUUCCCUGGUGGAUCUAAUAAUAAAGAACUUCGUGCAACACAGGAGACUUGGGUUUGACCCCUGGGUUUGGAAGAUCCCCUGGAGAAGAAAAUGGCAACCCAUUCCAGUAGGGUUACAGUCCAUGGGGUUGCAAAGAGUUGGACACGACUGAGCGACUAACACACACACAUGAUGCAAUGGUAAUAUUUGUAUAUAUUUGGAUAUAAAUAGCUAUAUGAUUAAAACUGAUUUUGCUGUUUCUUUCUUCUUUUUUUGAAUGUGGCCACGAGAAAAUUUUAGAUCCAAUAAAAAAAGGCUUAGA